CGCCCCCUAUACGUCAUCAUUGAGUAAACUUUGACCCGGAACCUCACAGUCAGCAGACAUUUCCUGGGAGGGAGGGUCUGCUGCUGAUUGGGUGGAAUGUGUCUGCUGGCUGUGAGGUUCCGGGUCAAAGUUUACUCAAUGAUGACGUAUAGGGGGCG
rnacentral:miRNA from 1 species